rnacentral:lncRNA from 1 species
AAUCAGCCCUCUUUUCAAAGAAGCCUCCGCCACAAGAGGACAUGACUAAGCAAAAGAGGAAGCUUAACUGCAGCAAAAUUGAUCAGAGCAGACCUGGGAUGCUGAUCCCUUUGUGUUGUGCUCAGCAAAGCAUCUAGCAGAAAUCCUGCAGCCCUCCACUGGGAUUCAUCCAGCUGCUGAGCACCACACCUGCAUCUCCUCUGAUAAAAUUGGGCCAGAUCCUGGAAGGUUCUGAGUGUAACCCAUUUUGGAGCUGAGGUGCUUCAGAUGUCUUACCUUCUGUUUCAGGAUACAAGAGCUAAAUGAGCAGUUUGUUGCAAAAUGAGACAGUUGGAGAGACCACCUGCUCUGAUGGAGUUCCUGGGGCAUUAUGCAAACCCUUCAAAAGAGAGAUCACUGCAACUACCACCACUGAGAUCCCCUGCUGUGAGCUGACAGCUACUCAACAGGAAACAACUACACUGCACAGGCAGCAUGGAGGGCUGUUUGGAUGGGUGCCUUCUGGAAAAAAGAAAAGGGGGGGGGGGUGUGGAGGGUGGGUGGGAGGAGAGAGAGAGAGAAGAACAGAGCUAAAAGGAAAUGUUUCAAUACUGCUGGGAAAGAUGAGCCCUGCUUCUCACUCAAACUGCCCAGACAGCCUCUCUCACCUCUGCUCACUUCACAAGAGGCGUAGGGCAGCCAGGAGAGUGGUUGGCUGUAUUAUCCAAACACUGAGCAAUGCUCUUCACAGCUCUGCUGUAACACUGGCUAGUCUACACGGCUCUCCUUGGUCAUCAGUGCUGUGUAGGGGAGGGAAAGAUGAGCAAAUCUGCCUGGAGAGCUGCCCGUGGACAAUUCCUGUUGCCUCUGCUACUAUUUGGACUGUAUCUCCAGUCUAUCUCUGUCUUCUGCAUGUAGUCUCCUUCCUUGGUCCUGACUAUGAUCCUGCUCCUUCGUGCUCUGGAGUCAAGGUGUUAUAUUAUUUUAGUGGUGGACUUAAGGAAAGGAGAAAGCACCUCCCUUUUCUUCUGGGAAAGGUAGUUUGCAAGUACCUUGGAAGGAUUCUCUUAGGUUUUCUGAAUAGGUUUCUAGGUUUAGGAUGGACACAAAGUCUAAGUUAG